rnacentral:rRNA from 1 species
GACGAACGCUGGCGGCGUGCUUAACACAUGCAAGUCGAACGGAAAGGCCCUGCUUGCAGGGUGCUCGAGUGGCGAACGGGUGAGUAACACGUGGGUGAUCUGCCCCUUACUUUGGGAUAAGCCUGGGAAACUGGGUCUAAUACUGGAUAGGACCAUGCUGUAGGUGGUGUGGUGGAAAGAUUAGUUUCGGUAAGGGAUGAGCUCGCGGCCUAUCAGCUUGUUGGUGGGGUAAUGGCCUACCAAGGCGUCGACGGGUAGCCGGCCUGAGAGGGUGGACGGCCACAUUGGGACUGAGAUACGGCCCAGAAUCCUGCGGGAGGCAGCAGUGGGGAAUAUUGCACAAUGGGCGCAAGCCGGAUGCAGAGACGCCGCGUGGGGGAUGACGGCCUUCGGGUUGUAAACUCCUUUCAGCCAUGACGAAGCCCUUGUGGUGACGGUAGUGGUAGAAGAAGCACCGGCUAACUACGUG